rnacentral:snRNA from 1 species
GGAUGUGAGGGUGAUCUGGCUGAGACAUCUGUCACCUCAUUGAUCGCCAGGGUAGAUUUGGCUGAUCUGGCUGGCUAGGUGGGUGUCCCCUUCCCCUUCAACAAUCCAUAUGUGUCCCUCCCAAAGCUGCAUGCUCAGUUGAAGAGGACGACCAUUUCUGAUGGAAGAGGACCAUUCCUUGGUCAAGGGCAUAUAAGUAACUGCAUUCCCCUGCUAGGACCUCCAAACAAGCUUUCAAGGAAGAGAAAUGAAUGCAACUGAGACUAAGAAAACAAUACAAAAAAUAAAUGAAUUAAAGAGUUGGUUCCUUGAAACUUGAAAU